UAGGGAAUCUUCCGCAAUGGGCGAAAGCCUGACGGAGCAACGCCGCGUGAGUGAUGAAGUUCUUCGGAUCGUAAAACUCUGCUAUUAGGGAAGAACAAAUGGGUAAGUAACUAUGCACGUCUUGACGGUACCUAAUCAGAAAGCCACGGCUAACUACGUGCCAGCAGCCGCGGUAAUACGUAGGUGGCAAGCGUUAUCCGGAAUUAUUGGGCGUAAAGCGCGCGUAGGCGGUUUUUUAAGUCUGAUGUGAAAGCCCACGGCUCAACCGUGGAGGGUCAUUGGAAACUGGAAAACUUGAGUGCAGAAGAGGAAAGUGGAAUUCCAUGUGUAGCGGUGAAAUGCGCAGAGAUAUGGAGGAACACCAGUGGCGAAGGCGACUUUCUGGUCUGUAACUGACGCUGAUGUGCGAAAGCGUGGGGAUCAAACAGG
rnacentral:rRNA from 1 species